AGCCAGAUGGCGCAGUGGUCAGCGCACUGAACUCCCAUUCGGGAGGACCGCUGUUCAAACCAGCGUCCGGCCA